CCCUUAGAUGUUCUGGGCCGCACGCGCGCUACAAUGAAACGUUCAACAAGUUUUCUGUGGCCAGAGAUGGCUCCGGAUCUGCUUCGUCGAAAGGCGUGGCGAAUCUUUUAAACGCGUUUCGUGCUGGGGCUUGACAUUUGCAAUUAUUUGUCAUAAACGAGGAAUUCCUAGUAAACGCGACUCAUCAGGUCGCAUUGAUUACGUCCCUGCCCUUUGUACACACCGCCCGUCGCUCCUACCGAUUGAAUGCUCAGGUGAGCCAUUCGGACUUUCAUCAUGCUGGUUUCCAGUUUUGAUGAAGGAAAGUCUUGCGAACCUUAUCAUUUAGAGGAAGGAGAAGUCGUAACA
rnacentral:rRNA from 1 species